rnacentral:rRNA from 1 species
UGCCAGCAGCCGCGGUAAUACGGAGGAUUCGAGCGUUAUCCGGAUUUAUUGGGUUUAAAGGGUCCGUAGGCGGGUCUUUAAGUCAGUGGUGAAAUCCCAGAGCUCAACUCUGGAACUGCCAUUGAAACUGAAGAUCUUGAAUUUAGUUGAGGUAGGCGGAAUACGUUAUGUAGCGGUGAAAUGCAUAGAUAUAACGUAGAACACCGAUUGCGAAGGCAGCUUACUAAACUAACAUUGACGCUGAGGGACGAAAGCGUGGGGAGCGAACAGGAUUAGAUA